GGGUUGUGAGGUUAAGCGACUAAGCGUACACGGUGGAUGCCCUGGCAGUCAGAGGCGAUGAAGGACGUGCUAAUCUGCGAUAAGCGCCGGUAAGGUGAUAUGAACCGUUAUAACCGGCGAUUUCCGAAUGGGGAAACCCAGUGUGACUCGUCACACUAUCAUUAACUGAAUCCAUAGGUUAAUGAGGCGAACCGGGGGAACUGAAACAUCUAAGUACCCCGAGGAAAAGAAAUCAACCGAGAUUCCCCCAGUAGCGGCGAGCGAACGGGGAGGAGCCCAGAGCCUGAAUCAGCAUGUGUGUUAGUGGAAGCGUCUGGAAAGGCGCGCGAUACAGGGUGACAGCCCCGUACACAAAAGCGCAUGUGCUGUGAGCUCGAUGAGUAGGGCGGGACACGUGGUAUCCUGUCUGAAUAUGGGGGGACCAUCCUCCAAGGCUAAAUACUCCUGACUGACCGAUAGUGAACCAGUACCGUGAGGGAAAGGCGAAAAGAACCCCGGCGAGGGGAGUGAAAAAGAACCUGAAACCGUGUACGUACAAGCAGUGGGAGCCCCACCACCAAAGCAUUCUCUGGUGUUGGAGGCCCUGCAAAGCAGCAUCGCGGUGGCGGAGCGUCGUUUGCGACGCCCAACACACAAAACAAGCGGUGAGUGCUUUGGGGUGGGGUGACUGCGUACCUUUUGUAUAAUGGGUCAGCGACUUAUAUUCUGUAGCAAGGUUAACCGAAUAGGGGAGCCGGAGGGAAACCGAGUCUUAAUUGGGCGUUAAGUUGCAGGGUAUAGACCCGAAACCCGGUGAUCUAGCCAUGGGCAGGUUGAAGGUUGGGUAACACUAACUGGAGGACCGAACCGACUAAUGUUGAAAAAUUAGCGGAUGACCUGUGGCUGGGGGUGAAAGGCCAAUCAAACCGGGAGAUAGCUGGUUCUCCCCGAAAGCUAUUUAGGUAGCGCCUCGUGAAUUCAUCUCCGGGGGUAGAGCACUGUUUCGGCUAGGGGGCCAUCCCGGCUUACCAACCCGAUGCAAACUGCGAAUACCGGAGAAUGUUAUCACGGGAGACACACGGCGGGUGCUAACGUCCGUCGUGAAGAGGGAAACAACCCAGACCGCCAGCUAAGGUCCCAAAGUCAUGGUUAAGUGGGAAACGAUGUGGGAAGGCCCAGACAGCCAGGAUGUUGGCUUAGAAGCAGCCAUCAUUUAAAGAAAGCGUAAUAGCUCACUGGUCGAGUCGGCCUGCGCGGAAGAUGUAACGGGGCUAAACCAUGCACCGAAGCUGCGGCAGCGACGCUGAUGCGUUGUUGGGUAGGGGAGCGUUCUGUAAGCCUG
rnacentral:rRNA from 1 species